UGUUGACUGAAAUGUCUUUUUACAGCAUAUGACCACAUAGAUAAUGGAUAUAAGUGAUACUGGUGAAUAUGAAGACAACAGGAAGGAAUUAAUGCAGGAGAAGAAAUCUUAGAGAACAACAUCAUUGAAAGGAUAGACCAUUAAAAGGAUCUUUGUUGAAGGAGCAAUCAGAGAUGUCAGAGGAAAUUUUUUAAAAGGUGUUGUCAUAGACACCAAUGGAAGAGAAGAGAAUUUCAAGAGGAAGAGAGUUCUAAGUAGUGUUUGUGGAAAAUGUUUCCAGGGAGCCAAGUUGCACUUAUUUGAUUUGGUAACUAGAGGGUUAAUAAUGCCCUCAGGAAAGAGUGGUUUUAGUAGAGUGGUGGGGUGUUAAUGACAUUAGUAAGGGUAAAAGAGUGAAUAAGGGAUAAAGAAGAACAGAGAAUUAUAGAAUAAUCUUUCGAGAACCUUAGCUGUGAAGGGAAGGAAAAAGAUGAAAUUCAUUCUGCAUUUUCGUUAAUAGCAAAAAUAGCCUCUGAGUAAAAACCAUUUUUGCAAUCCUUGGUGACCAGAGUGAAUUUGCCAGAUCAACAAAUGUUCGUACACCCUUCUUUGAUUCUCAUAAAAUGGAGUGGGUAACUCCAGACAGCCUUCAUGGAGAUAAGACCACUAGAUUGUUACCAGGUUCCAGCAAGCCCACAGGACCGAGAAGAAACUGCCUUCACCUCAACAGCAAUUGUUGAGGAAACUGAAUUGGACUAUUUCUCCACUGCAAGGCAAGACGAUACCAUGAACUGGAUCACUGCACUAAUAGGUCGAUGAGAAAAUGACUUUUUCCUGGAGAAAUACAUCUCUUGUAAAAGGCAUAUGCCAGCUGUUGCCAACGCGUUUUUUCUUCCACGGUUCUGGAGGUGACACCAGAAGAGGCAGGGUAUAUGCAAGUUUCUCUAGAACAUUCAUCUUCGACCCACUCCUGCAAGUGGGGCAGGAGUCCCACUUGCUCACUCUCAGGGUCCUGGACAAGAUUGCUUUGACCUUUCUUGCUUCAUGAUUUUGCUUCUUUGCUACCAGGAGGAGAAAUGUCAGUCUGCCUAGUCCGACAAGGAAGAGUGAAGUUUUUGCCUAGAGAUCUCAUUAACGGAGAACAGACAGGAUACAACAUCAAGAGCGAAAGGGCAAAGUAAU
rnacentral:lncRNA from 10 species